rnacentral:rRNA from 1 species
UACGUAGGGUGCAAGCGUUGUCCGGAAUUAUUGGGCGUAAAGGGCGCGUAGGCGGCCUGGCAAGUGGAUGGUGAAAUCCCUCGGCUUAACCGAGGAACUGCCAUCCAGACUGCUUGGCUUGAGACCGGGAGAGGUGAGUGGAAUUCCCAGUGUAGCGGUGAAAUGCGUAGAUAUUGGGAGGAACACCAGUGGCGAAGGCGGCUCACUGGACCGGUACUGACGCUGAUGCGCGAAAGCGUGGGGAGCAAACGGGG